CAGAACGAACGCUGGCGGCGCGUUUAAGCAUGCAAGUCGAGCGGCAAGGGCCUCGGGCCCUAGAGCGGCGGACGGGUGAGUAACACGUGGACAAUCUGCCCCCCGGCCCGGGAUAGCCCAGGGAAACCUGGAUUAAUACCGGAUGAGACGGGACCCGCGAAGGCGGGACCCGGGAAAGGCGCUGCGGCGCCGCCGGGGGAUGAGUCUGCGUCCCAUUAGCUAGACGGCGGGGUAACGGCCCACCGUGGCGACGAUGGGUAGCCGGCCUGAGAGGGUGGACGGCCACAUUGGAACUGAGACACGGUCCAGACUCCUACGGGAGGCAGCAGCUAAGAAUCUUCCGCAAUGGGCGAAAGCCUGACGGAGCAACGCCGCGUGAGUGAAGAAAAGGUUUUCGGAUCGUAAAACUCUGUUGUCAGAGAAGAACAAGUUGGAGAGUAACUGCUCCAGCCUUGACGGUAUCUGACCAGAAAGCCACGGCUAACUACGUGCCAGCCGCCGC
rnacentral:rRNA from 1 species